AUCGCGAUGGCUCAGCUGGCAGAGUGUCUACCCGCUACGCGGAGAGUCGCCGGUUUGAUACCGGCUCGCGGCG
rnacentral:tRNA from 1 species